GAGACUCUGUGCGCGUGCAUAUCAAUAAGCGGAGGAAAAGAAACUAACAAGGAUUCCCCUAGUAACGGCGAGUGAAGCGGGAAGAGCUCAAAUUUGAAAUCUUAAAGGGUUUCCCUUUACGAAUUGUAGUUUAAAGAAGUGUUUUCUGUUGGUAGUUUCGGUAAAAGUUCUUUGGAAUAGGACAUCAUAGAGGGUGAGAAUCCCGUAUUUGACCGUUACUUUCCAGCUGUGUGAUACACUUUCAAAGAGUCGGAUUGUUUGGGAAUGCAGUCCAAAAUGGGUGGUAAAUUUCAUCUAAAGCUAAAUAUUGGCGAGAGACCGAUAGCGAACAAGUACCGUGAGGGAAAGAUGAAAAGAACUUUGAAAAGAGAGUUAAACAGUACGUGAAAUUGUCAAAAGGGAAGCGUUUGACACCAGUGUUGUUUUCUCGAAAAUCAAUUAAAAAGAGUUGGAUUUUGUAUUGUUAAGACCUUAUCAGCUUACUGUACUUUUUUCUUGCUCUUUCUAAUGCACUUUUCGUUUAACAAGUCAACAUCAAUUUCUUUUGUUGUAAAAGGGUCAUUGGAAGGUGGCUUUCACUUCGGUGAAAGUGUUUAUAGCCUUUGGCUUCUACAAUCGGAGGGAUUGAGGUCUGCAGCGUAGAUCCUUCGGGGUUAGAUACGUAGAUGCUAAGUUAUAGUUUUUUAUAGACAACUUGUUGACUAUGAUUAAUCAUGUAGCUUACUCGUUUACGCUAUUUUACCUACGCUUAGGAUGUUGAUCUGUAGUGCGUGCGCC
rnacentral:rRNA from 1 species